UGGUCACAGUGAUUUAGCAUGACAAUACUGACCGGAUCCAAUUUAAGAAACUGAGGAUGAUGACAGUACCUUGGUUCUAGCCGUGACGGUCGAUCCUUGGCUUUCUCCG